rnacentral:rRNA from 1 species
GAUGAACGCUGGCGGCGUGCUUAACACAUGCAAGUCGAACGAGAAUCUUCGGAUAGAGACUUCGGUCAAUUGAAGGAGAGGAAAGUGGCGGACGGGUGAGUAACGCGUGAGUAAUCUGCCUUGGAGUGGGGAAUAACACAGAGAAAUUUGUGCUAAUACCGCAUGAUGCAUUUAGGUCGCAUGGCUUUGAAUGCCAAAGAUUUAUCGCUCUAAGAUGAGCUCGCGUCUGAUUAGAUAGUUGGCGGGGUAACGGCCCACCAAGUCGACGAUCAGUAGCCGGACUGAGAGGUUGGCCGGCCACAUUGGGACUGAGACACGGCCCAGACUCCUACGGGAGGCAGCAGUGGGGAAUAUUGGGCAAUGGGCGCAAGCCUGACCCAGCAACGCCGCGUGAAGGAAGAAGGCUUUCGGGUUGUAAACUUCUUUUAUGAGGGACGAUAGUGACGGUACCUCAUGAAUAAGUCACGGCUAACUACGUGCCAGCAGCCGCCGUAAAAC